rnacentral:lncRNA from 1 species
CUUUGUUCUUCAAAUUGAAUCUUUUCUUCAAACUUCCGCGAUCAACUCUUCAAGACUCCAUUCGACUUUACGAAAUCCGCCAACCUAGAAAAUCCUUAACAGAACGCCGCUGCCGCGCUACAGCCGCCCCUGUGGCCGUCCUGCAUUAGUUUCGCCGAGCUUGGCCCAUUUCAGCCCCGCGCGCAGCCGCCGCCCAGCGCCGGCCGUGUCGCCCUUCUCUGGCCUCCGGCAGUCCACCGCCGUCGCCCUGAGCUUCCCGUCGGC